AUUGAACGCUGGCGGAAUGCUUUACACAUGCAAGUCGAGCGGCAGCGCGGGGGCAACCCUGGCGGCGAGCGGCGAACGGGUGAGUAACAUAUCGGAACGUACCCCGUCGUGGGGGAUAACACAGCGAAAGCUGUGCUAAUACCGCAUACGACCUGAGGGUGAAAGCGGGGGAUCGCAAGACCUCGCGCGAUGGGAGCGGCCGAUAUCGGAUUAGCUUGUUGGUGAGGUAAAGGCUCACCAAGGCGACGAUCCGUAGCUGGUCUGAGAGGACGACCAGCCACACUGGAACUGAGACACGGUCCAGACUCCUACGGGAGGCAGCAGUGGGGAAUUUUGGACAAUGGGGGCAACCCUGAUCCAGCCAUUCCGCGUGAGUGAAGAAGGCCUUGUCUGUAAGACGUCUUUUGUUGUAGGGAAGGAAAGUAG
rnacentral:rRNA from 1 species